rnacentral:rRNA from 1 species
UUGGAGGGCAAGUCUGGUGCCAGCAGCCGCGGUAAUUCCAGCUCCAAUAGCGUAUAUUAAAGUUGUUGCAGUUAAAAAGCUCGUAGUUGAAUUUCGGGAUCAGUAUGUUGGUCGUGCUUCGGUACGUACUGUCAUUACUGGUUUCUCCCUUCUGAAGAACCUUGAUGUCAUUAAUUUGGUGUCUUGGGGAAUCAGGACUGUUACUUUGAAACUAAAUUAGAGUUAGUUAAG